GAUGAACGCUAGCUACAGGCUUAACACAUGCAAGUCGAGGGGAAACGGCAUUGAGUGCUUGCACUCUUUGGACGUCGACCGGCGCACGGGUGAGUAACGCGUAUCCAACCUUCCCAUUACUGUGGGAUAACCUGCCGAAAGGCAGACUAAUACCGCAUAGUCUUCGAUGACGGCAUCAGAUUUGAAGUAAAGAUUUAUCGGUAAUGGAUGGGGAUGCGUCUGAUUAGCUUGUUGGCGGGGUAACGGCCCACCAAGGCUACGAUCAGUAGGGGUUCUGAGAGGAAGGUCCCCCACAUUGGAACUGAGACACGGUCCAAACUCCUACGGGAGGCAGCAGUGAGGAAUAUUGGUCAAUGGACGGAAGUCUGAACCAGCCAAGUAGCGUGCAGGAUGACGGCCCUAUGGGUUGUAAACUGCUUUUGUAUGGGGAUAAAGUUAGGGACGUGUCCCUAUUUGCAGGUACCAUACGAAUAAGGACCGGCUAAUUCCGUGCCAGCAGCCGCGGUAAUACGGAAGGUCCAGGCGUUAUCCGGAUUUAUUGGGUUUAAAGGGAGCGUAGGCUGGAGAUUAAGUGUGUUGUGAAAUGUAGACGCUCAACGUCUGAAUUGCAGCGCAUACUGGUUUCCUUGAGUACGCACAACGUUGGCGGAAUUCGUCGUGUAGCGGUGAAAUGCUUAGAUAUGACGAAGAACUCCGAUUGCGAAGGCAGCUUGCGGGAGCACAACUGACGCUGAAGCUCGAAAGUGCGGGUAUCGAACAGG
rnacentral:rRNA from 1 species